AUUGAACGCUGGCGGCAUGCUUUACACAUGCAAGUCGAACGGUAACAGGCCGCAAGGUGCUGACGAGUGGCGAACGGGUGAGUAAUGCAUCGGAACGUGCCCAGUCGUGGGGGAUAACGCAGCGAAAGCUGCGCUAAUACCGCAUACGAUCUAUGGAUGAAAGCGGGGGACCGUAAGGCCUCGCGCGAUUGGAGCGGCCGAUGUCAGAUUAGGUAGUUGGUGGGGUAAAGGCUCACCAAGCCAACGAUCUGUAGCUGGUCUGAGAGGACGACCAGCCACGCUGGGACUGAGACACGGCCCAGACUCCUACGGGAGGCAGCAGUGGGGAAUUUUGGACAAUGGGCGCAAGCCUGAUCCAGCAAUGCCGCGUGCAGGAAGAAGGCCUUCGGGGUGUAAACUGCUUUUGUACGGAACGAAACGGUCUGGGUUAAUACCUCGGGCUAAUGACGGUACCGUAAGAAUAAGCACCGGCUAACUACGUGCCAGCCGCCGCCGUAAAAC
rnacentral:rRNA from 1 species